AACGACCCCCUCACUUUCAAUCUCUCCAAUCCUAAUCAGACAACCCAAACGACCCAGCCCCCAACCUUCGUCUUCUCCAAACGACCCAACCCACCGUUUCAAACAUCCACCCCGUCACACACGCCGAAAACUCCAACCAAAUCAGCCCCUAUCCUCGUCAAGAGCUCGAAUCAGACCUCGCCGACUCCACCAGCGACGAACACCCGUCCAUCUCUCAUCAGACCGGCGACAAACAAACCGAACGACCUUGAACUUUUCUUCUUCAUUUCGAAGAACUUGGUCGCAGAACCCAAACGACCCAUUUUCGUUUGAAGUGUCAUUCACCCACAAACGACCAUCUCCAAAUCACAACAGCCGCCAAUUCACCAAAAUCCCUAACGCAAGAAACCCCUGUUCCAUCGGUGCUUCCCGAGGUUUUUCGUUCGAGUGUUAGAGUUCGUGUUCGAUUCGAGAUUCUUGAUACGGGGCUGAAAUCCCAGCUGCUGCUCGAGCUUUCGUUCGAGUUUUGGUUCGAGUUUGUCAUCGUUGUUGUUCAUCAUAGAUUCCGGUCGCGGUUCCAAUUUAAUUAGGGAUUUCAAUAGCUUUUUCUGGUCUUUUGGAAUUCACUGUUAAAUUGUCCCUCUUCUGCAUUUACUUCAAGACAUAAUCGAAAUUAACGUGCAUUCAGCUUCGUUUCUGAUUCUUUUGUGUUAAUUCUGUUCAAUUGAAAAUGUGGUAAGAGCAGUGACGUUGGGUCUAGGACUUGAAAAAGAAUCAUGAAAUUGCAGGAUCCUAAUAGUUAUUCUUCAAUGGGUUCGUGUUUGAAUAUCCGUUCCUGAGCUAGUUCUGCAUUUGACGAGAUUGCUUGUGCUUGAUUCUUUCUAUUUCGUGCUCUUCAAAGUAACGAAAAAUGAUACAUAUAUUGUGGUUGCCACUGUUCAAGUUUAUACAAUUGUGACUAACGUGUUUUCUAUUAGAGUCUGCCUGUUUUAAUUGUCGCAUAGGUUGUCGUACAAUCUUUCUUUCCGAUUGAGAGUGUUAUAUCCCAUUGAAAGAUCUAUGCCCCGAUAUGUUUGUUGAAGGUCACAUUAAUGUCUUUGUUUAUGAGACUUGAGACCAUCUGUUUGACCAUCAAUUCAUUAACAAAAUCUGUUUUGAAAGUGAAGCAAGUUUUAAA
rnacentral:lncRNA from 1 species